AACGAACGCUGGCGGCAGGCCUAACACAUGCAAGUCGAGCGCCCUCUUCGGAGGGAGCGGCGGACGGGUUAGUAACGCGUGGGAAUAUACCCUUCACUAAGGAAUAGCCACUGGAAACGGUGAGUAAUACCUUAUACGCCCUUUGGGGGAAAGAUUUAUCGGUGAAGGAUUAGCCCGCGUUAGAUUAGUUAGUUGGUGGGGUAACGGCCUACCAAGACGACGAUCUAUAGCUGGUUUGAGAGGAUGAUCAGCAACACUGGGACUGAGACACGGCCCAGACUCCUACGGGAGGCAGCAGUGGGGAAUCUUAGACAAUGGGGGCAACCCUGAUCUAGCCAUGCCGCGUGAGUGAAGAAGGCCCUAGGGUCGUAAAGCUCUUUCGCCUGUGAUGAUAAUGACAGUAGCAGGUAAAGAAACCCCGGCUAACUCCGUGCCAGCCGCCGCCGUAACAC
rnacentral:rRNA from 1 species